GCUGGGCAUGGUGGCGCGUGCCUGUAAUCCCAGCUACUCAGGAGGCUGAGGCAGGAGAAUUGCCUGAACCCAGGAGGCGGAGGUUGCGGUGAGCCGAGAUCACGCCAUUGCACUCUCCAGCCUGGGUAACAGGAGCGAAACUCUGCCUCAA
ensembl:misc_RNA Metazoa_SRP Metazoan signal recognition particle RNA